UACGAAGGGGGCUAGCGUUGCUCGGAAUCACUGGGCGUAAAGCGCACGUAGGCGGACUCUUAAGUCGGUGGUGAAAUCCUGGAGCUCAACUCCAGAACUGCCUUCGAUACUGAGAGUCUUGAGUCCGGGAGAGGUGAGUGGAACUGCGAGUGUAGAGGUGAAAUUCGUAGAUAUUCGCAAGAACACCAGUGGCGAAGGCGGCUCACUGGCCCGGUACUGACGCUGAGGUGCGAAAAGCGUGGGGAGCAAACAGG
rnacentral:rRNA from 1 species